CAAUAGCGUAUAUUAAAGUUGUUGCAGUUAAAAAGCUCGUAGUUGGAUUUCUGGUAGGAGCGACCGUGCCGAACUUGAUUGUUCGAGUAUUGUGUUGUCUUCAGCCAUCCUCGUGGAGAACUUUUCUAACAUUAACUCGUUGGGAUUGGGACCCGCGUCGUUUACUGUGAAAAAAUUAGAGUGUUUAAAGCAGGCAUUAGCUUGAAUACAUUAGCAUGGAAUAAUAAGAUAGGACUUUGGUACUAUUUUGUUGGUUUGCAUACCAAAUUAAUGAUCAACAGGAACAGUUUGAGGAUAUUCGUAUGAACAUGUCAGAGGUGAAAUUCUUGGAUUUUGAUCAGACGAACUACUGCGAAAGCAUUUAUCAAGGAUGUUUUCAUUAA
rnacentral:rRNA from 1 species